AGAUUAAGUUAUUAAGGGCGCACGGUGGAUGCCUUGGCACUAGAAGCCGAUGAAGGACGUUACUAACGACGAUAUGCUUUGGGGAGCUGUAAGUAAGCUUUGAUCCAGAGAUUUCCGAAUGGGGAAACCCAGCACGAGUUAUGUCGUGUUAUCUGCAUGUGAAUACAUAGCAUGCAAGAAGGCAGACCCGGAGAACUGAAACAUCUUAGUACCCGGAGGAAGAGAAAGAAAAAUCGAUUCCCUGAGUAGCGGCGAGCGAAACGGGAAGAGCCCAAACCAAUAAGCUUGCUUAUUGGGGUUGUAGGACACUCUGUACGGAGUUACAAAAGAAUUUGUUAGACGAAUAACCUGGAAAGGUUAAUCAGAGAAGGUAAUAAUCCUGUAGUCGAAAACGAAUUCUCUCUUGAGUGGAUCCUGAGUACGACGGAGCACGUGAAAUUCCGUCGGAAUCUGGGAGGACCAUCUCCUAAGGCUAAAUACUCUCUAGUGACCGAUAGUGAACCAGUACCGUGAGGGAAAGGUGAAAAGUACCCCGGAAGGGGAGUGAAAGAGAACUUGAAACCGUGUGCUUACAAGUAGUCAGAGCCCGUUAAUGGGUGAUGGCGUGCCUUUUGUAGAAUGAACCGGCGAGUUACGAUCUGAUGCAAGGUUAAGCAGAAAAUGUGGAGCCGUAGCGAAAGCGAGUCUGAAUAGGGCGAAUGAGUAUUUGGUCGUAGACCCGAAACCAGGUGAUCUACCCUUGGUCAGGUUGAAGUUCAGGUAACACUGAAUGGAGGACCGAACCGACUUACGUUGAAAAGUGAGCGGAUGAACUGAGGGUAGCGGAGAAAUUCCAAUCGAACUUGGAGAUAGCUGGUUCUCUCCGAAAUAGCUUUAGGGCUAGCCUCAAGUGAUGAUUAUUGGAGGUAGAGCACUGUUUGGACGAGGGGCCCCUCUCGGGUUACCGAAUUCAGACAAACUCCGAAUGCCAAAUAAUUUAACUUGGGAGUCAGAAUGUGGGUGAUAAGGUCCAUAUUCGAAAGGGAAACAGCCCAGACCACCAGCUAAGGUCCCAAAAUAUAUGUUAAGUGGAAAAGGAUGUGGCGUUGCCCAGACAACUAGGAUGUUGGCUUAGAAGCAGCCAUCAUUUAAAGAGUGCGUAAUAGCUCACUAGUCGAGUGACACUGCGCCGAAAAUGUACCGGGGCUAAACAUAUUACCGAAGCUGUGGAUUGUCCUUUGGACAAUGGUAGGAGAGCGUUCUAAGGGCGUUGAAGCAUGAUCGCAAGGACAUGUGGAGCGCUUAGAAGUGAGAAU
rnacentral:rRNA from 1 species